GCAGCGGCGGCGGCGCUGAGGGGGCCGAGGGACAAGAGUAGGACUGGAGGGAAGUGCGCGAUUACCUGUCGGAGGUCCCCCGAGCCCCGCGGAUCUCCCGCGGAGGAAGCCUGGCUCUUGGUUGGGACACCUGUUCGCGAGAGGCGAAGGCGCCUGGAGGAAUUUGGAAACCAGACGUCUCUCUCUCUGCUGUUGCAAAUCGCAGGACUUUACCUACGGGGAACAACCUGGCGGUGGCAUUUUGGCCAUAGCUGCCGUGCAAAGGGCACAUUGUACCAGGCAACCUUCCUAGGAGGCAGUGGAGAUAUCGGCCUUGCCUUCCCCCUCUCCUGCUUGGGGAGGUGGGCAAUGGCAGGCUCUGGACAGCUUGCCUUCCUCCUGACAGUGUCUCUCCAGUCCUUUUUACAGCCUGCACUGGGUCAAGGUGGGUACUCCCUUCCCUGUCAUAAAGUAAAGGGGAAUAGAAGGAGGUGUUUGCGUGUGCGUGUGUGGGAAUUUCCAGCACCUCUGCUGUGUGUGGUUUUAAACAACUCACAUCUUGUUCAAAAGGGUAUUUGGUGAGCAGCAGGCAGAAUGUCAUCUCUGCAUCACCUUCAUCCAGCAUAGCAGAGAAGGUCCCCAGACAGAACUUCUCUUUCACGUUAGGAUGAUCUCAAAAUAACAGCCUGCUUGUUGUAAGUUGUACACCAGAUUCAGUGAACUCAGCCUCCUGAUUCUGUGCUUACAUUUAUUUCUCCCUUGGGAGAUGAGCUUUGUUUUAGUACACACCGGAUAGGAUAUCUCCACCUGAUAGUUCCUAAACAUCUCUGAAUGCCAACUUUCAAAUAUUAUCCAACAUAAAUCAGUGUUACAGGUUAUCUAUUGCUCGUUAUGUUAUUAUAUAAUCCUAAACCCGAUUGCAUAUCAAUAAUAGCAAUUCCCGGUGUGGUGUAGUAGAGUGACAGACUAGCACUCUGGAGGACAGGGUUAGAAUCCCCACUUGGUCAUGGAAACUUACUGGGAGCCUGGAACUAGUAAAACAACUCUUUAAAUAUCUCACUUACCUUGAAAGCCCUAUCAGUUCUAGUGCCCAGGGGUGCGCUUGUCCCCAGUCACCCAUGCCAUUUCAGUGGAGGCCUCAGUUAUUUAGGAAACUGCUGUUUCAAAUGGCCUAGAUUUCUAUUGAUUGUGACACAGAGUUUGAAACUGAGAUGACAGAUCAUCCUAAAAAUGGAGCUACGUAGGAAUGUGUCAGGCGUGUUGAAGUGUCCCCACCUCCACCCCUGCUUGUCAACUCAGCCUUGUCUUUACUGACCAGGCCUCAGCCUGAAAGCAGAGCACUUUCAGGGUGUGGCUGAGGCUCUCCCAACCCAAGGAGUGAGCUCUGGCUGAUGCACAGUGGGUGUGGACGCCGCCAAGCGCUGAGGGAAGCCAGCAGAAACUUGGUUGCUCCACCUUGUCCUUGACCUGCAACAACUGGAGCAAUGCUCAGCCUGACACAGAAAUGGAAUGCCUGAGAGCAGAAGCGGCCAAAAGAGGAGCCACACCUUUCCCAGAAGGGUCUGAAAGCAGUGGAUUCAGUGUGUACAUGAGGGCUGGAGACCUGGAUUUGCUUCCUCUUCUCUUUCUGGGAGAUGAAGCGAAUUCAGGUUCCCAGGGCCCCUAAUAUACAGAUAUCCCAUUCACAAAUUGAUUUAAGGUCCUGUAGUCAAGAAGGUGUAUAAGUUAAAUAAAUAAAUAAAUAAAUAAAUAAAUAAAUAAAUA
ensembl:lncRNA